rnacentral:rRNA from 1 species
UACGGAGGAUCCAAGCGUUAUCCGGAUUCAUUGGGUUUAAAGGGUGCGUAGGCGGAAUGAUAAGUCAGUGGUGAAGCCUGCAGCUUAACUGCAGAACUGCCAUUGAUACUGUCAAUCUUGAGUACAUUUGAUGUGGGCGGAAUGUGUCAUGUAGCGGUGAAAUGCUUAGAUAUGACACAGAACACCGAUUGCGAAGGCAGCUCACAAAACUGUAACUGACGCUGAGGCACGAAGGCGUGGGUAUCAAACAGG